rnacentral:lncRNA from 1 species
AAGCACGCCUUUAACGCCUUGUGCGUCGAGGCAUUUUUAAUUGAUAAAAUUUGUUGAAGAAACGAACUCCUGCCUGUGAGGGUAAGUUUUUGUAAAUCACAGUCAUGUGUCUGUGGGUUCGGUAAAUAUUUUUGCCUCUUGUUUCAUACGCAUGUAUGUCUCGACCACUUGUCAUGGUAUAUUUAGACAGCAAAAUAAAGUUGUAUGUAAAAUGUAGAGGCUCGGAAAGGUUAAAAGUUGCAGUUUAGUUUAAGUUUCCUUACAAGAUUCUCUGAAAUUCAAAUGUGCGAUUAUGCGUACUGUUUGCUUUUGCUGUUUGAACGCUCUGUGUAACUGGCUAUUUGCACUAGCUCCCAACAACACUAAGCCGUAGACGAAAUAGGGGUAUAUCAAGCCAUAAUACAAUGUCAUCAGAGCAUGAGUAGGGCAGUAUUAGGCUAAGCACCUCAGAACAUAAAUGCCUGAGGACAAUUUAGAGCACACAUAAUUUAUGAGGACAUUCCAAUUCAAUCGAAUUUCCAGAAAUAUUCCAAGGAACUUUGAACUAUCAACUUCAUCCAGCAGGGAAUCAUCCAAUAAGACGAUUGGUCCGUCGUUUGGAUCUGCCGAUCGCAAAACGAAGGUCAGGACAUUUCAUUAGGGUCUCUUGACCAUAGUAAUCAGAAAUGACUGUUGACCACAGACACUACAGGACACUUAUGUUGGUGAUAAUUUUGUCUAUUGCUAACUGAGAUGUUGUCCUUACUCUAGUUGGUGUUCUGACUGACAAUCUAAGGCCAAAUUACCUAAAUAAAUCGUGUAAGCGUUUUGUGGAUGGGUGAUUAUUCUGCAGUGCGUCAAUAUUAAAAUCGCCUAUAGGAUAUAAUCCAGUUUGUAAUUAGAUAGGUCAGUCAGUACGGCUUCGAAUUUGGAAAAAAAUAAAUUUAAUUUCUACUUGUGACUAGUAAAUGCCAAUAAUAAUCAAUUUUGAACUUUUGUGUGAAUUUUGAUACAGACUGCUUUAAAAUCCUUUUAAGUUGUUUCUUUAAUAGAAACAGUGUCAUAAGAACAUGUUUUUCACGAAUAUAGGUGUAUUACUGCAACCGUGUUGGUGUAAAUAUACGCUUGUGCAAGUAUAACCCGAUGAGUAAGUAGGUGUACGACUGUAACUGUUUUGGUGUAAAUGUAUGCUUGCACCAUUACAAUAGUUGUAUCAAUAGGUGUACGACUGUAACGGUUUUGGUGUAAAUGUAUGCUUGCGCCAUUACAAUAGUUGUAUCAAUAGGUGUACGACUGUAACUGUUUUGGUGUAAAUGUAUGCUUGCGCCAUUACAAUAGUUGUAUCAAUAGGUGUACGACUGUAACGGUUUUGGUGUAAAUGUAUGCUUGCGCCAUUACAAUAGUUGUAUCAAUAGGUGUACGACUGUAACGGUUUUGGUGUAAAUGUAUGCUUGCACCAUUACAAUACGUGUAUCAAUAGGUGUACGACUGUAACGGUUUUGGUGUAAAUGUAUGCUUGCGCCAUUACAAUAGUUGUAUCAAUAGGUGUACGACUGCAACGGUUUUGGUGUAAAUGUAUGCUUGCGCCAUUACAAUAGUUGUAUCAAUAGGUGUACGACUGCAACGGUUUUGGUGUAAAUGUAUGCUUGCGCCAUUACAAUACGUGUAUCAAUAGGUGUACGACUGCAACGGUUUUGGUGUAAAUGUAUGCUUGCGCCAUUACAAUACGUGUAUCAAUAGGUGUACGACUGUAACGGUUUUUGUGUAAAUGUAUGCUUGCGCCAUUACAAUACGUGUAUCAAUAGGUGUACGACUGUAACUGUUUUUGGUGUAAAUGUAUGCUUGCGCCAUUACAAUACGUGUAUGAAUAGGUGUACGACUGUAACGGUUUUGGUGUAAAUGUAUGCUAGCGCAAUUAUAACACGUAUGUAUAAUGAAGUUAAAUAGUAAAAUAACGAAAUUCUUUUUAUUGCACCAGACAUUUUUUUAAUAUAUCGCAAAAUUCAUUACUUAUUGUCUAUUACGCAAUAGAAUACUACUAGUUCUAACACAUUUAUUCAUAGAAUGAUACAUCCUAAAGUUAAAAAUAUUUACUCGAUCUCACCAGUACGAUACAACAGAGCGCACCCCUGGUGUUGACUUAACCGUUUAUCAAUUGUCCAUGAACUCGUCCACAGAGUUGAAUGAAUGAGUUGAACCCGGUUCUGAUAUAGAUAAAUGAAGACCGAAUGAUAUCUUUACGACAUACUGUGUGCUUUAUGACAUACUGUGUUCCAUUUUAUGACGCAUGCAAUGCAAUUGUAAAUAUUGUUAAUGCAGUAAAGAGUAUUAUUCUUAUUAUUAUUAUUAAGAGGUCAUUAGGUAGCGUCUCAAACGUGCUUUAUAUUUUUAGAAAUAUGUUUCGUCCAGGUUCUGUUUUAGAAACUAUGGUGUAAAUCUAUGCUUGCAUAAUUACAUACUGUAUGUGUAGAUGACUUCAACAUUGUUGGCGUAAAUGUAUGCAUGCGUAGUUAUAAACACAUAUGUGUAUACAUGUGUGCGACUGUAACUGUUGGAAAUAUUUAUGCUUGUUCUAUUUCAACGUGUUUUUGUAAAUAGGUGUAGGACUGUAAUUUAGUUAGUGUAAAUAUAUGCUUGCAAAAUUAGAGUCUGUGUGUGUAAAUAGGGGUACGACUGUGAGUGUGUUGGUGUAAAAGUAUGCUUGCGCAAUUUUAACCUGUAAGUGUAAAUUGGUUGUUGAAUUCAACUGUGUUGAUGUAGAUGUAUGCUUACGCAAUAAAACCCUGAACAUGAUAUUAUGUGUACGACUGAAAAUGUGUUGCUGUAAAUGUGUUCUUGCGCAAUUAUAACUUGAAUGUGUAGAUAGGUUUACGACUUAAAUGUGUUAGAUUUAAAUUUAAACUCGCGCAAUUUUGAUGUGUCUGUACAAAUUUGUGUACGACUCUAAAUGAGUUGGCGUAAAUGAAUACUUGUGCAAUUAUAAUCUGUAUUUGAAAAUAGUUCUUUGAAUGUAAUUGUGUUGGUGUUAAUGUGUGCAUGUGCAAUUAUAAUCUGUACGUGAAAAUAGGUUUACAACUAUAACUAUUUUGGUCUAAACGUAUGCUUACGCAAUUUUUACCUUUAUGUAUAAAUAGUUGUAGUACGACUGAAACUUUAUAGGUGUAAAUGCAUGUUUGCGCAAUUAUAACUUGAAUGUGUAGAUAGGUUUACGACUGUAACGAUGUUGGAGUGAAUGUAUUCUUGCGCAAAUGUAACUCGUAUGUGCAUAAGAAGUAUGCGCGCGCGCGCGCGCGCGCACACACACACACACACACACACACACACACACACACACACACACACACACACACCCAUGUAUAUAUAAAAGUAUACAAUA